rnacentral:rRNA from 1 species
GGAAUUUUGGACAAUGGGCGCAAGCCUGAUCCAGCCAUGCCGCGUGUGUGAAGAAGGCCUUCGGGUUGUAAAGCACUUUCGGACGGAACGAAAUCGCGCGGUUGAACAUUCCGCGUGGAUGACGGUACCGUAAGAAGAAGCACCGGCUAACUACGUGCCAGCAGCCGCGGUAAUACGUAGGGUGCGAGCGUUAAUCGGAAUUACUGGGCGUAAAGGGUGCGCAGGCGGCCCCGCAUGUCAGGCGUGAAAUCCCCGAGCUCAACUUGGGAAUGGCGCUUGAAACUACGGGGCUGGAGUGUGGCAGAGGGAGGUGGAAUUCCACGUGUAGCGGUGAAAUGCGUAGAGAUGUGGAGGAACACCGAUGGCGAAGGCAGCCUCCUGGGCCAACACUGACGCUCAUGCACGAAAGCGUGGGGAGCAAAC